UACAGAGGCCCCAAGCGUUAUCCGGAUUUAUUGGGCGUAAAGAGCUCACAGGCGGUGUAUUAAGUCGGGCAUGAAAGCCCGAGGCUCAACCUCGGAUCCGUGUUCGAAACUGGUACACUAGAGGCUGGGAAGGGCAAGCGGAAUUGCUGGUGUAGCAGUAAAAUGCGUUAAUAUCAGCAGGAACACCAAUGGCGUAGGCAGCUUGCUUGAACAGUUCUGACGCUAUAUGAGCGAAAGCGUGGGUAGCGAAUGGG
rnacentral:misc_RNA from 1 species